GGUUCACAGUGUAUAUUAUGUGUAUAGCCCGCCGGACUCAAUCAUUAUCUUUCCUCGUAGGUGAACCUGCGGAAGGAUCAUUA
rnacentral:rRNA from 1 species